rnacentral:rRNA from 1 species
CUCGGUUGAUCCUGCCGGACCCGACUGCUAUCAGAGUGGGACUAAGCCAUGCGAGUCAACGUAGCAAUACGUGGCAUACGGCUCAGUAACACGUAGUCAACAUGCCCAGGGGACGAGGAUAACCUCGGGAAACUGAGGAUAAACCUCGAUAGGCCAUGAUUUCUGGAAUGAUUCUUGGCUCAAACCUAUAUGGCCCCUGGAUUGGACUGCGGCCGAUCAGGCUGUUGGUGAGGUAAUGGCCCACCAAACCUAUUACCGGUACGGGCUCUGAGAGGAGGAGCCCGGAGAUGGGCACUGAGACAAGGGCCCAGGCCCUAUGGGGCGCAGCAGGCGCGAAACCUCUGCAAUAGGCGAAAGCUUGACAGGGUUACUCUGAGUGAUUUCCGCUAAGGGAAUCUUUUGACACCUCUAAAAAUGGUGCAGAAUAAGGGGUGGGCAAGUCUGGUGUCAGCCGCCGCGGUAAUACCAGCACCCCGAGUGGUCGGGACGAUUAUUGGGCCUAAAGCAUCCGUAGCCGGUCCUGCAAGUCUUCCGUUAAAUCCAGCUGCUCAACAGAUGGGCUGCGGGAGAUACUACAGGGCUAGGAGGCGGGAGAGGCAAGCGGUACUUUAUGGGUAGGGGUAAAAUCCGCUGAUCCAUAGAAGACCACCAGUGGCGAAGGCGGCUUGCCAGAACGCGCUCGACGGUGAGGGAUGAAAGCUGGGGGAGCAAACCGGAUUAGAUACCCGGGUAGUCCCAGCUGUAAACGAUGCAGACUCGGUGAUGGGUUGGCCUCGCGCCUGCCCAGUGCCGCAGGGAAGCCGUUAAGUCUGCCGCCUGGGGAGUACGGUCGCAAGACUGAAACUUAAAGGAAUUGGCGGGGGAGCCA